GACAGAGGUGCCGAGCGUUAGGCGGAAUCACUGGGCUUAAAGCGUGUGUAGGCGGGCCGUUAAGUAUCUUGUGAAAUCCCCCCGGCUCAACCGGGGAAUGGCUGGAUAUACUGGCGGUCUUGAGCAAUCUAGGGGCAGAUGGAACAGACGGUGGAGCGGUGAAAUGCGUAGAUAUCGUCUGGAACGCCAAAGGUGAAGACAGUCUGCUGGGGAUUUGCUGACGCUGAGACACGAAAGCCAGGGGAGCGAACGGG
rnacentral:rRNA from 1 species